rnacentral:lncRNA from 1 species
GUUAUUCCCAGGAAAAUGCAUGGAACUGGACAUUGUUAUAAGUCUCACAAAGACAACUAUUUAUGCUUUCUUUCAUAGUAAAUCCAAAGAGGAAAAAUGUGAAAUAAAAGGGAACUAUAGGGUAUUUAGAAGGGAAAAAAUGGGAGAAUAAGAAAUGGAGAUGGAGAGGGUGAAUAUGAUCAAAGUAUAUUGUAUACAUAAAUGGUGUUGUUAUAAUGAAACCUCUUUGAAUUAUUAAUACAUUUUUAAAAAGAAUAACAAAUGAAAAUAACAAAAUUAGGGUAGUGAUGCAAUUGUAGCUCUUUGUUUUAAGGAUUAGAUAGAGAGGUCCUCUCUGUGCUUUCUUGUCCUCAGAAUGCAUGUUUACAUGAAACUUUAUGCAUUAAUGUUCAUAGAGGCAAAGCCCCCAAAUGGAAACAAUCCAAAUGUUGACCAACUAACAACUAAAACUAAUUUGGCAUAUUCAACAGUAAUAAGGACUGGCAUGUGGAUAUGAGCUACAAUUUGGAUGAACCAUUAAUAUGUCAUGGUAUCCCAAUCACAAAAGUCACUGUUGCAAGGACAUUUUCCCUGAGGAGACAGAGUAGCACCACUCCCUCCUCCCGAAAGACCCAAGGACAAAUGACAACACCAUUCCAUCCAAAGUUUCCCUUGGAGCCAAUGAGCCUAUUGGGCUUAGUUACAGACUGUGAGUGAGAAGGUUUGGUAAGAACGUAGGUGACCCAAAAGUCUCCACACAGCAUGGAUGAUGGCUUCUCCAUGGUCACAGAGAUGGAGAACCUCUUAUUAUUUUCCCCCACCUAUAUACUCUAGUAUGUUUCUAAAACCUUUUGGCUAUAUGCAAUUAAGACCAAAUUCUAUAAAAAUCACUGGAAAGACUGGCUGGACACUUGGUUAAAGGUCCAGUGACCCUUCCCAUGUCCUCACCAUAUGAGAGAAGGCCCGGUCAUUAGUGAAUCACUCAGGUAGGCACAGCUGACCUGAUGAAUAUAACACUCAUUUGCUCAGAAAGUAGGGCAAUGUGUCAACCACAUAAACCUGACUUCACUGAAAUGGAACAUGAGGCAUAGGAAUCAGAUUAGUGGUUGAUACUUCUCGGGUACUGGGGAAAAGGGAAUCUGCUCUGACUGCUAGGAAAUAGGAUUCCUUGAGUUGUGACAAAGGCAUGCUAAAUGUUAAUAGAGAUGAUGGUUGCACAACUCUGAGUAUGCUCAAAAUCCACAGGAAUUUCCCCUUCAAAAUGAUAUGGCCCAUGAUAGAUGGAUUAUAUCUCAAAAAUACUCUCUUGUGUUUAAAGAGGUUGUUCUAGGUUAUGAGGUUAGGAAAGGUAUAGUCAUAGAAUAACAAUGAGUCAUUAAAACACAUAUAUAUUCAUGUGCUUUAAAAUGAAUAAAUUAAAAAUACCAAAGGAAUUAUAUAUAGUAUGGAAAAAUUAACUGCAUUUUAUCUAUUUAAUUUUAUUCUGUGUGUAUUUGUGUUUUGUAUACAUGUAUGUUUGUGCAUCACAUACAUGCAGUAUCCAAAAGAGGGCAUCCGAUCCCCUGAAACUGGAGUUACAGACCAUUGUGAGCUGCCAUGUGUGUGCUUGGAAUCGAAUCUGAGGCCUCUGCAAGAGCAGCCAGUGCUCUUAAUCACUGAGCCAUCUCUGCAGGCCUUGACUGCAUUACUUUUUAUAAUUUAUCCCCAAAGCAGAUUCUAUGACAUCUGCUUUAUUAGUCACUGAUCUCAUCGCUACAACAAAAUACCCAACAAAGCCACUUCUAGGAGGAAGUGUAUAUGUUGGCUCACAGUUUGAGGGUACAGUUCAUAUGGUGGAGAAGUCCUGGUAGCAGGAGCUUGAGGCCUACAGGUCACCCUGCAUCCACAGUCAGGAAGUACAGAGUACUGCCAGUACUCAGCUUGCUUUCUCCUUUCUAUUCACUCUAGAAACCAAAGCCCAUCAGAAGGUACCACCGAUAAUUAAGGUGAUAUUCCUUCCUCAAUUAAACUAAUCUAGAAAAGCCUUCACAGGUCAGGUAGACCCAGAAGCAGGUUUAUCUCAAUAAACCCUCAUGGAUUUACAGACACUUGGAAAUCCUAUGAAGCUGGUGAUCCAGAUCAACCCCCAUGCCUGCUUAUACACAAUAAAAACUCACUUAAAAUGAAUGGAUGAUUUGAGGCCAGCCUGGUCUACAGAGGGAGUUCCAGGACAGCCAGGGCUACACAGAGAAACUCUGACUCAGAAAACC